rnacentral:rRNA from 1 species
UACGAAGGGGGCUAGCGUUGCUCGGAAUCACUGGGCGUAAAGCGCACGUAGGCGGAUUGUUAAGUCAGGGGUGAAAUCCUGGAGCUCAACUCCAGAACUGCCUUUGAUACUGGCGAUUUCGAGUCCGGGAGAGGUGAGUGGAACUGCGAGUGUAGAGGUGAAAUUCGUAGAUAUUCGGAAGAACACCAGUGGCGAAGGCGGCUCACUGGACUGGUAUUGACGCUGAGGUGCGAAAGCGUGGGGGAGCAAACAGG